rnacentral:rRNA from 1 species
GCUCUCCCUAUGGUCGACCUGCAGGCGGCCGCGAAUUCACUAGUGAUUCGUUUACCGCGGCUGCUGGCACAGAGUUAGCCGGUGCUUAUUCUGUCGGUAACGUCAAAACAGCAAAGUAUUAAUUUACUGCCCUUCCUCCCAACUUAAAGUGCUUUACAAUCCGAAGACCUUCUUCACACACGCGGCAUGGCUGGAUCAGGCUUUCGCCCAUUGUCCAAUAUUCCCCACUGCUGCCUCCCGUAGGAGUCUGGACCGUGUCUCAGUUCCAGUGUGACUGAUCAUCCUCUCAGACCAGUUACGGAUCGUCGCCUUGGUGAGCCAUUACCCCACCAACUAGCUAAUCCGACCUAGGCUCAUCUGAUAGCGCAAGGCCCGAAGGUCCCCUGCUUUCUCCCGUAGGACGUAUGCGGUAUUAGCGUCCGUUUCCGAACGUUAUCCCCCACUACCAGGCAGAUUCCUAGGCAUUACUCACCCGUCCGCCGCUCUCAAGAGAAGCAAGCUUCUCUCUACCGCUCGACUUGCAUGUGUUAGGCCUGCCGCCAGCGUUCAAUCUGAGCCAUGAUCAAACUCUAAUCGAAUUCCCGCGGCCG